AUGGCGGCAAGUAGCAAUAACGACACAUGUUUUGCUUCCUCUUCACUCUUUCAAACCCUAAUUCUAUCAUUUCAUCUUCAUCCUUCCAUCUCCACCAAAUUCUCCCCAAAUUAUCGUUACCACCUUCUAUGGAUGCUACGAAAAUCUCUGCUAAUUAGAAAUCGCAGAUCCCACACUGAAGCUCCCGGUACAGUUAACGUCAACGCCACUGGUUGCAGGAUUUCACAUCCUAAACAGAAAAGCAUUGUACGUUUUUCAUUCCUUGCUGCGUGCUUGUUUCACAUUUGA